AUAUAUCAAAACAUCACAUUGUAUACUGUAAAUAUAUAUAAUUUUUAUUUAUCAGUUAUGCCUCAAUAAGGCUGAAAAAAAGGGAUGAUAAAAAUGAGGCUGUCAUGAAAGUUGUUAGUUAAUUGACAUAAAAUACUCUUAAGCUUUCAAUAAACCUUAGCCAAUGUUAUUAUCAAUUUUUCUGAAAAGCUGAACUGAAGGAAGGUAUUUGUGUCAGCCUUUUAAAUAUCAAAACAGGAGAAAGAGCCUGGGAAGAUCAGUUGGGAAGGCAAAGUGGCCAAUAUGAGGAGAAACCAUGAUGUUGCUUUCUGUUGUUUUUACUACUUGGUAUCAUUAGAAAUUACAUCAAUUUUGGGAAAAAAUUUUCAGCAUGAACCAUUUCAAAUUUCUCCAUUUUCUAUGUAACAGUCAUAAUUUCACUUUAUGUUAAAAUACAAAGAUUUACUGGGAGGAGGGACGCUUGGAGAGGAGAAUAAGAGAGAUGGUUGAAGGCAGGGAAAGAGGGCUGGUAAGGAAAGUUACAGACAUUCCAUUGACUUUCUCUGUAGGGAAUGCUGAGUUUGGGUUAAGGUUAUAUUGCCAAGGACUUACUAAGGGAGAACAUGACUUUUAUAGGAGGAGACAUUAGGGUUAGUUGAAUUGAAAACUUUCUAAAAAUGACUGCUGUUAAAUUAUCAUUUCCUUUGGUCUUGGUUUCGUUUCCCCCCAAAGCAGGCCCUGAGGCAGGUACUUUGUUUGGAAGGUGACCCCAGAAAGCCAGGUGAGGGGGUGGUGAAGGGUGAGACAGAGAGGGAAGGAAGCCAAUUCCGGCUACCGCUGUGGGUGGUGGGGCUCACUGUUGCUGGGGGCCUCUGGGAAACCAUGUGGAACACACCUCACACAUGUCAGGGAACCCUGCAUAUUUAUCAACUUCUGUUUCUCAUUGGUUAAGAAUUGCCGUGGAGGUGUUAAACCCCUAGUGCUUCUGAGCUGUCCUGGGCUGUCCUGUGCUGGACUGAGCAAACACGUACGGCGCUAGAAAAAGCCAUCAGGCUGAGAAGCAGAGGGAGGUGUCAGUGCAUGAGGGGGAAGCUGCCAGCCUGCAUGAAAACUGGCUGCUGCACAUGGAGAUGAACUCAGGUGGGCAGAGGGUACUGUGUCUACUAUAUCCAGUGACUUAAAAGAGCUAAUUUUCACACAAGGGGUAAAUAAAUGGCAGAGAUUAAAGUUAACAAACUGCUUGUUUCCUCAGUGUGAGAGAAUGGUCUCCCUACACACCUUUUCUUCCUUUCCUUUUUCUUCCCUUCCUUCUUCCUUUUAUAACAUUAUCUUGCAUUCUUUUAUUACCUUUCAUAUAUCACCUUAUAUUUUUAGAAUUCUAUAUCAGGCUAUUAAAGGCAGAGUCUUAUAUAUCUACGUAAUUAGCUAGCCAUAUCUAAAGCUAGCUAAUAAUAGAUAACUAAUAAUUAUGUCAAAUUACAGAUUUUAUGCCAAGACAGAAUGUUUAGAAGUUAUCCUGUCUAACAUGCUUAUUUUACCUCUCUGUUUGCCUUCCCAAAAUGGCCCCAUAUAUCUGCAUUAUCUUUUUAAUUUUUGUAUUGGUAGACCUCUUGAAAUAUGAAGAAAUUAAGGUUGCUUCUAUCCAGGAGAGAAAAAACAGUACAGACAGAGUGCUUCAAUAGGCCAAGAACUGGGCUUAAAAUUCAAGAACAGCAAAUUCUGAGCUUGGCUGUCAGGUUUAAUAACUUCUGCUCCUGACACACAUAAUUUUGCCUCAUGUCUGACAGCUCACCUCAAAACACUGAUUCUGAAACUCUAAUAAAAGCAAUUUUAACUUUAACUUUUGGAAUAGAUCAUUUAAACCACCAGAGAAAAAUUAUCAAAACCUCAUUCACAUGGACAAUUUUUCUCACUAUGUUUGAGAAAAUUGACUUCCUUCAAUUCUCAAUUCAUGUGAUUUUCUCAGGAAUAGAGUUCAGCCUAGAUCAAAUGAGAUUGCCAUUAAAGCAUUUUAUUCAAUAUUAAGCCUUUGUAUUAUAAAGGUGUGAUAAAAAUGGAUCAAAAACUCUGUUUCUAAAAAUUUUUCAGACUUACCUUGACUGUAACAAUAGGCACCAGGAACAUUGUCUUUGUUCCCUAAUGUAAUUUAGCACUUAGAAUUGUUCUUGGCACUUAAUAGAUGCUCAGGAAAUGAUUCUUGACUAAACAAUUAAAUAAUGAAUGGCUUUUUAGUGGCUCUCAGAGAAUGUGGUUCAGAUAGCUAUCAAGGUCUAUGUUCAAAUUAUCAUCUUACAGAACCACAGGUAUUUGUCUAAGACGUGAAAGAUAUUAAUUCUAGCCCCUUCUAUCAUGAUGUAUAUAUGUCAUUCCUGUGCCCCACCCUGCCACACAUACAUGCUAUUAAAUAUGCUUAGACCAUCUGGGCAUACGUCAAUCAUUUGGAACGUACCCCUGCCACCUGGGUAAGGUGGAGCUAUCUGGAGUUCUCCAGGCCUGCAUACUGAUAUGUCAACAUUGCGGAUAUCUAACAAAUGUUUAUUAAACGAUUAUGUAAAUGAUAAAAGUUUCAAUUGUUAUUUCCAGAGCUCAAAACGAGUUAAAAGCUUUAUAUGACAUGACUCAUAGGAGAUACAAAGACUGCACGAACCAUCGUUAGCAAAGGUCUUGCUCUGGCAAAAUAUCUGCGCCUAUAUUACAUUUAAUCCAGAGGCUUUUAAAAGAUUUAGAUCUUUAUUGCUUUUUUAUGUUCUUAAUAGGAUCAAAAAUAAUUUUAGAACAUACUUUGAGUUGCCUAUAAAUACUUUCCAGUUCAUAUUAACACAAUACUUUUUCUUCUAGAUAUUUUACUUAUAGACAUCAUUUCAUUAAUUUUCUAAGGAUUCUGGCCUGUUUAUUUUGGGGAUGAUAAUUUCCACAGUCAACUAUUUUCUGGUGAGCCUUUGGAUCAUCAGUUGUUUAGCUUAAUAGAGAGUUAACCCAUAUUUAAUUCACCUUACUAAUUUUAAAAGAAUUAGAAUACAAUAGAGUUUAUUAAACUUUUCAAAUCCUAUUGAACUUCAAUUGCUCUUUCUGAUUGGCCCAAACAGACUCCAGGGCUGUGUCAUGCCUUGGGUCAUUGUUAAUGCAAUAAUCAUGAUUGCAUUGCAGAAGUGUGUCUGUGUCAGCUCAUAACAUACCAUACACACCGAUUUCCACUUGUUGAAUAUCCAGCAUGCCCAGUCUUUGGUUCUAAUCAGAAGAACUAUUUCCUAUUCAUAUCUAAUUGUCUUAAUUGCCACUGCUUCCUAUUAUGCCACAUAGUAGAUAAGAAACACAUCAGUUAAAAAUGGUCAACCUCACUGCAUAAUACCUAGAUUACAGGCAUUUUAUCACAGAGCUCAUAUAAGGGAGGGGAAUUUAUUUGCUAGAUUUUUUUGUGUUAUAAAUCCAAAGACAUUUCAGGGAAUGCAGGCCUAAUACUAACAGCAUGAGUUGUGGGGCUGCUUGUGUCUGUUUACCACACAACUAUUGUCUUACUAAUGUCAACUUUUAGGCAAGGAAUGUGCUUUAUUUGACUUACAGUUGGCAAAAAGGUGAUUGUUCCAGAUAUGAACCCAGUGGAUACUUCUCUUUCUAGCCUUGACCUAUUGAAGAAGGAAGCUACUUUUUUCAGUGAGUUACUUCAAAACCAGCAGUUGCAUUUUAAUAGAUCAUCCACAUUUUGGCAGCUGAAGAAUUCAGAUGUUUCUGUGACUACAGAACAUCUAAUGUCAACUCUGUAGUUGAUAGAUUAAUCAUGGGCUGGUCUCUUGGUUUUAGUAAAAAGAAUCAGAUUUCCUUUCUGAAAAAAAUGUUUUAGUUUAUGUCCUUUCUUCUUUUUAUUUUUUUUUUCUUUUCUCUAAUCAGCAGAUCAAAACUUUGGGCCCUUCUUAACCCUAAUUCAAACAUCACUUCAGAAGUUAACACAUUUGAGCUCCAAAAGCAAUGCUUUUAACUUCUGUCCCAUGGUCAAUAAGGGGCUAAAUCGAUCUAUAAACAGUGUCAGAUGGUGUCUCACACAUGGCACUUAAGAAACCUUAUUCCUGAUAGAGCCUUGACCUCGGGGGCCCCCCUGAUCAGGAGGUCUCAGUAACACUGAACAGGGAAGCAUCAAAGGAAGGGCUUGUGCGGUCCCACGAGCCUGACUGCAGCUUGGACUCCACGGUGAGGUGCGACGGCCGGGAGAGGGUGUUGAAGACAGGGCAGGCAUGGUACUGACAUGACUGCUGAAUAUUUCCAGUUGUGUUUGUUGCAUGACUGAGGUUGGAAGGUUUCAGGCUCAUUUUUUUCCCCUAGUAGUUCCGUUUCUCAUCCUUCUUGCUUUUCAGUUUAUCUAGAAGUUUUGCAUUGGGAACUGAUGGAGUUCAAGGAUAUCUUUCAAGGAAGCCAAAACAAAGCAAGCUCAGAACUGAGGAGGCUCAACAUAGUUUUUUUGGGGAGCAGCAAGAUUGUCAUUUGUUGAACAGAGUAGCAUUUUGAUCAGUAAAAAUCCUGCAGAAUCUAUGGCAGAUGCUGUUGGUUUCCUGGAGGUCCCUUGCAGGCAGCUCCCCUGAACGCUGAGAGCUUCUGUGAUCUCUAGGAUGUGGCUGGGCUGCUCGUGGGGCAUGUUAGGAAACCCAGAAGCUGAGGCCCCAGGAUGGUUGUCAGUGAAUGAAUACCAGCUUCUUGCCCUCCAGUGUAGAAUUCUGAGGUGCGUUCCCUGCGGCCUCUCAGGGGCUCCCCAGUGGGGUUGUGCCCACAGCUUCCCACAGCAACUGACUCAUGAACACACUUUGUAUUGGCUCUCUUUCCCUUCUCUGUCUCACUCCUCUAGUCUCCCACUUCUGCUUCCUGAGGUACUUCUCAAAUAAACUACCUGUACCCACAUCCUUUUCUUAGCAGCUGCUUUUGGGGAAACCCAAAGACAGAAUCAGAUAAAAGUACAGUUUUUGCAUCCAAAAGAAUUUGAGACCUCUUGAAAGUUCUAUUUUUCCACCAAGUUGAUACCACUGUACCUUGGUUUGGAUUCCCCGAUGCAAAUCCUGAGAUAAUGAUUUUGGUACAAAUAGUGUAUUUGGGAGGAGAUUCCAGGGGGAGCAGGAAAGUGAGAUAGGGAAGGGAAGGAAGAAAGAAAGUGGAUGUUAUCAAGCCAAUCACGAGUGCGGGUAGCUACAGCCCAGUCCUGCUGAGGCACUCUGGAACUCCGUAGAACAUGCCUCAGAACUGUCCUGUCCCAGAAGUGAAGAAGUUAAGAUGUUGAUCACCAACUCCUCAUUCAUCAUUGAUCAAGGGUUUCUCUAGGAGUACUAACUUUCCUGUGCUUCUGAGAUGCCCUGCACUCAGACUGAUCAUGUACUGUGGCCUGAAAAGAAGUCCUUAGGAAGAGAGUCUCAUGUUUGCAGUAAGCAGCCUUUGAGAAUAGAGAUAAAUGCUGAGGGAAUUUGGGAAGGACACUAAAACCCCUUUUACACACUCAGAGAUGCUAAAAGCCAACAAAUGCAUCUCUGAAAUAAAAUGCAAAGGAAUCACUCAUUCUCUCAUUCAACAAAUCUUUAUAAAGCCCUUCCUGUGUAUUUGGAUAAAUGUGGAGAAGAUGGACUAUCUGUUGCCUUGCAGGUACUCCAACACUUUUGUUCCAUAAGGAGUUCCGUGCCAUCCAGCACAGAGGGGAACUUUUCAUCCUGAUGUGGCCUCCCUAAGCCUGGUUUCUUGAAUGCAUGGGUUGUUAUGCAGAGCGUUGGACUGAGAAUUAGGAGACUUGUGUUCUGGUUCUUGUUCUGCCCUUGAAGAGCCAAAUUACCUUGGAGGAGUCAUCUUGCUUUCCAGGACCUUGAUUUGUUCCUGUGCUUAAUGACGGAGCUGGCAUAGGAUGCCUUCAGACCUUCCUGCCCUGAAAUAUGUGGCUGCAGGUCCACUUGCAGAAGUGGCUGUGGUCCCAGGGCUAUUUGUGCUGUGUAGGUCAAUAGCUGUGAGCAGCUUCUGGUCUGGAGGCAUUUCAGGUCAAGGGAUAUCUGAGCUGGCAGAAAAGUUAGAGAUGGAAAUUAACUCUUGUAAUGAAUAGCAGUGAAGCUCAGGAGAUGACAUGACUUGUACAAGCUCACUCAGCUAAGAGGGGGCAGAAUUGGAGCCAGAACCUUUUUUCCUAUUAUUCGAUUGAUGGGUCUUUCUUUCUGCCUCUCUCUCUCUCUCUUUCUUUCUUUUUCUUUUUCUUCCCCCCACUUUUAUUUUUUCCUCAGACAUGAUCUGGCUCUGUCUCCCAGGCUGGAGUGCAGUUGCUUGAUCUUGGAUCACUGAAACCUCUGCUGCCCAGGAUCAAGCAAUCCUCCCACCUCAGCCUCCUGAGUAGCUGGGACUACAGGCACACACCACCAUGCCUGGCUGAUUUUUUGUAUUUUUUUUGUAGAGUCUGGUUUUGCCAUGUUGCCCAAGCUUCUCCAGAACUCGUAAACUCAAGCGAUCCACCUGCCUCUGCCUCCCAAAGUGCUGGGAGUGCUGGGAUUACAGGCAUGAGGCACCGUGCCAGGAAAAUGGAUCUUUCUAUUAGUUUACAGACUGCACUUUUUGUAGCAAGCUAUUAAACAGCACUGUUUCUGAGACAAACAGUAGACAAAUGGCUAAAGAAAUCCCCUUGAUCCAAGCACUGUGAUCAUGAAAUUGGAAGAUAUUCAUGUUUAAGGGCUCAAACCAAAUAUCAGAGGCUCCACCUCCUUAGAAACACUCUCCUGCUGAUUUGUUCUAUGUGCUGUCCAAUAGAAGGCCAGUCCCAUCCACAGGGAUUGUUAUCAAGUGGAAAAGGUGGACCAAACACCUGAUAAAAAAAAAUCCAGCUCAUGUACACCUCACCAUGAAGCCUUGGAUCUGCAGAUAUUGAUGCAGGGCUUAGCCGGGGAAUGUUCUUGGCUUUGCUCAGGAAAGAAUUCAAGGGUGAGUGGGUGAUGUUAUACAGCAACUUUUGCUGAAACAGCAAUGUACAGCAGCAGAGGCACUGCUCCUUGUGGAGCAGGUAUACCCCAUAGGCAGUCUGCCCAGAGUAGCAGCUCAGAGGCAGUGCUGUUACUCUGGGCAUAUUUAUACUCACUUUUAAUUAUAUGCAAAUUAAGGGGCAGAUUAUUCUGAGGUUUCUAGGAAAAGGGUGGUAACUUCCCAGUUGUCAGAGCCUCCUCAUGGAAAAAGGCAGUAAUUUCCUGCUGUUGCCAUGGCAAUAGUAAACUGACAUGGGACACUGGUGGGUAUGUCUUAUGGAAAGCUGCUUUUGCCUUUUGUUUUAGCUAGUCUUCAAUUUGGUCCAGUGUCCAAGCCCUGCCGCUGGAGUCAAGUCCCACCUCCUACCUCAAUAUCACCUGCAUUAUUUAGCUUUGGUUAAUGUGUAUACAAGAUGGCAGUUUGAUAACAGGUCUGAGCAAAGAAAGGGAAGAGAAUUACAAAGAGAGGUGGAAGAAUCCAGCCUUUUUAGAAUGGAAAGUAAUUUAGAUGCAAAUUUAGAAGAUGACGGGAAGAGAAGUGAAGAUGACUCAGCACUCCUGCUUCCUGUGUCCACACAAAUGGGUGUCUUGUUUUUAUUCAGCAAAAGACCAGCCAGGUGAUAACACCUUUGGCAUUACACCGGGUUGAGUUCAGGUUGCUGAUCACAGAGUGAAUGACAUUAAUAGACAUGAUAUAAGCUGCUGCCUAUUUUCCAGCCUGAUCGUCACGUGCUGUAUCAUGUUCCAUCUUAGCAAAAUUUUAAGUGUUAGAAGAACAGCACAAGUCCACUCUUGACUCUUGUGUGGACCUACGUCACCAACUUCAUUUCAGAGCUGGUCUGAAAUGCAGUCUCAGUCCUGACCCCAGACCUACUACACUGGUAGUAGUAAUUGAAAAGCAACUGUGUUUUUAACAAGAUCUUCAAGUGAUUUGUAUAGAUAUUAAAAUUUUGGAAGCACUGUUGCUGCUCAUAACAAGUGGAUAAUUCCUUGAGUGAAACCACUGAAAAAUAUUAUCAGACAAAAAUGAAGUACUCAAGGAGACCUUGCAAACAAGUGGAAAAACUAGAUGCGAUUCAAAUAAUCGAUACAAUGGUGUAAUGCUUAGUUGUUGUGAGCUAAUAUUUAAACAACGUUAAAUCAAACACAUAGCUCUUAAAAAACACCUGCUUCAAUUUUUUUCAAGUGUGAAUGUAUGGGAGGAUGUUAUUUAUAUUUAUACCUUGUUUCAUUCCACAAAGGAUAAAGACAUGUUGUUAUCAGACAUAACAGUAAUUACAGAGAAAAACACCACUGUUAAAGGGCUGUUGUGAUUCCCCGCAGUGUCUUUAGACUGUACACUAAGUAGAAGCUUUCAGAAUCAUCAAAUUCCUUUUCUGUCUCUGAACCCACAGAGGUAAUUGUCUGUCUUAGUUCUGAAAUAUCACCAGCCUUUGUUAAUAGACUCUGAGAUAUUUGUAAUGGAUGAAGGUUAAAGUUUGCUUUUUCUGCUUUUUUGUUUAUUUCAUUUUUUUUGAGACAGAGUCUCACUCCAUCACUCAGGCUGGAGUGCAGUGGUGCAGUCAUGCUCACUGUAACCCCAGACUCCUGGGUUCAAGUGAUUCUCCUGCCUCAGCCUCCCAAGUGUCUAGGAUUACAGGCAAGGACCAUCAGGGCUGGCUAAUUUAUUUUUAUUUUGUAGAGACAGUCUUGCUAUGUUGCCCAAGCUGGUCUUGAACUCCUGGCCUCAAGUGAUCCUUCCACCUUUGUCUCCCAAAGUGCUCGAAUUAUACCUGUGAGCUCCUGUGCUCAGACUUUUUCUCUUUUAAAAAGACCAUUGAAGGAAUCAUUUACAAAAUAAAUCUUGACUAAUAAAUUGUGUGGAGAGAGCUGGCUAAAUGUCUAAAGAGAACAAAUUUUGAAAAGCAAUUUCAAAGACUUGAGAAGCGUCCUUUUAAUAGCAGAGUUUAACAGAUCAAUUACAAAUCAUUCUUUAUAUUUAUUAAACCCUCACUACUUGUUAUGUAGCAAUAGCUUACUGAUACAGAGAAGGAGUCACUAAUUGGGGAGAUGCUGAUGCCUGGUUGCAACACAGAACUGCCACGUGCUAGAAGACAGCAAGUACAGGGUUCUAUUCAGACCACUUGCUUCUCAUGCUCUAGGAAUGAGCGUGUGUAGGACAGGAAAGACUCUUUCAGAGACUGUAGAGCAAGAAUGGGCAAGGAAAAAUCCAUGGCUGAAAUGAGUAAAGCCAUCUCUUCUCCCAUCUCAUUUUCAAGAGCUUCUUGUGACCCUAAGGCUGGUGUCCUAACAUUACAGAACCUCCUGCCCAGCUGUCAUAAACUUCUAAACAUGAGUGUGGAUGAAAAUAUUGACAGACCUCAUGGUGGGGGUUGGGUGGGGUGAUGAAAUUUCACUUUCCCUGAGGCAUGCCAGAAGGGUGAAAUAAAUAAUGGAUUAACCUAAAUUACUCUGAUGAGAAAGCUUGGGUUUGGUUUUGUACCUCCCUCUUCCAUUCUAGGUGGUUCUACUAUAAAUACCUUUAUUUUUGUUUCCUUUAGGGUAGUGUUUCCAAAGAAUGAAAUGUGUAUCCCUGAUGUUACACAAAAAGAGUUUCAUCUAUUUAACAUUUUGUUUAAUAGGUUAAUUAAUUAGGUACUUUUUAACAUUAAUGUCUAUUUAUGACAAGGGUCACUGGUUUUCAAUUUAGGGCAGAGUUUUAACAUUUCUCUUUAACGAUAUUUAAAUCAAAGUGAACUGAUUUAAAAAUUGCAUGAAAUAUUGAAACAAGCAUUGAUAUUAGUAAUAAGGAUGAUAAAAGAAUAUUCAGUUAUUUAGUUGAAAUAAAACAAAUUUGCAGCACAAAUUUGAAUUAAUGAGAACAUAUUUCUGUGCCUUAUUCCUAGUAGUCUAAGGCCUUUUUAUUCAAGGACAUUCAGCUUCACUGGAUGUUAUUUAGUUGUUCACAUGUCCCUGUGAGGUCAAGAUAAGACAGAUAGCCGUUAUCUACUGUUAGCUGUCACAUGGAGAAGAAACAGACUUUCAAGGUACAAGAAUUGAAGCAUGUGUAGGAAGCAGAGAGGUGUCUCAUCAUUGCUUCAAUCUUUCACUGUCACACUCUCCAUCAUAAGGUCAGCUGUUGAAGUUUGUAGGUGUCAUGAUACAGGUACAGCCUGAAGAGUAUUUGGGUUGUUUGUUUCAAUAGCUAAAAUUCCACCAUUAUUGAGUCUUGAGAACCCAUCUUGAAAAUGUCAGUAUUAUGGGCAGAAAAACCUUUGCAAUAAGUCAUUUGUGACCACGAGAUCUGGAAGAGAACAAGCCUUCCUAGAAUUAUGUGCAGAUGGUGGCCGAAGGAGGAGGAAGGGGUUCAGGUAUGGGGAGAGAAAAGCAGCAAUAUACCAAUGGGGGAAGGUAUUGGCUGAAGUAAAGUUUAGAUUUUAGUGCUCUUUUUUUAUGAGCUGUGUCCACUCAUGGCCAGGGUGCCACAUGGGGAAUUAAAACAGAGGCCACCUGCCUUAUGUGUCUUCUAGGCAACCAGAUUUGGUCCCCAUUUUGCUAGCUUUAUCUUCCUUCCAGGCCAACUCUGGGUUAGGUUUUAAGUGGCAAUCUUAGAUCUGAAGGUCUGUGCCCUGGAAUGUGAAUAAAUGAAUGAAAGAACAAACAAAGUCGGUGCAAUCGACACCACAUUUGUCUGAUAGGACCCUAUUUGUUCUUACAUUCAUAGCGGCUAACACUGUGCUUAACACAUGGUAAAUACUAAGUAUUUGAAUGAAUGAAGGUAAGAAACCCACCUAUUCAUAAAAACAGGGCAAGAAUGACUGUAUCUGAAAACUACAAGGUCGAGCUUCUCUUUUGUUAACUAAUUCAUUCAUUCAAUAAAGAAUGAAAGAACUUUGUGAACCAACACCAUGCUGAGAAUUGGCCCUUGAGAUAAAAUCUGAGUUAAAAUCAUCACUUACUCUAUGGGGGGUUGUUGAGAAAGGGCAUGAGUUUAGCCAUAAGGCCAUACACACAUACACAAAAAUUUUGUGUAUUGUUUUGCAAAGACUUGGGUAGGGGUAGUUUGGGUACCGGUACUUGAGCCCUGGAAGACGGAGUAACGGAGCAGAGAAGAGUGAGACAGGGAUAGAGAGAAAGCCAGUAAAAAGGUACACUAUUGAGUUUGUUACAAUUACACGGAACUAGGGAUCAGUUCUCUAGGGGAUCCUUUGAGUAACCAUGUGGAAUGCUUUUCAGGAGUAUACCCUAAAAAACUCCCCAAAGGAGUAAGGUAUUUCUCCAUCUACUCCCAUCACCCAACGCUGAAGAUUGUUCCUGAGGGAUUUAAUGUUCCCUCUCCCCAUCUGGUGGCUGCCCCUGUGUGUGGGCUGGUGAGAAGUGUGUGGUAUGUGCUGAAGAGAGGAAGUCCUCAGCAAUCAUGACCCACCCCAGCUGCUGCUGAAGCUGGUGGCUAAGGAGAUGUAGCAAAAGGAACUCAUAGCCUCAACUAGAGUUUUCUUAGGGGAAUUUGCCAGAGAUUAUUUAUAAAAUACCUGACAUACAAAAUAAAAGCAAUAGGCAGUUUUCGAAGCAGAUUUCAAAAAAAAUUCUUCACCUAAGCAAAAAUAUGGAAUCCAUUGAAAUAUUUAAUGGAAGGUAAAACUUUAGACAACAUUAGGGUCUGUUGGCUAUGACUGGGAGACACUAAAUAAUUGUAACUGACAACAGAGUAAAGAUAGGACACAUCUGUGUCUUGGAAAAGCCCAGGAUUAUGUGUGUGUGUGUGUGUGUGUGUGUGUGUGUGUGUGUGUGUGUGGUGGUGGGGGUAGGAGUGUCUUUCUGAUUACACCUGCCACCAGUGUCUGGUUAGGGAACAAGAACAGCAGAUGUUUCUUAGAAGACGAAUGAGUAUGGGUCUAAUAAAUAUCACUGCUUGAAUAAUAAUCUAUUAAAAUAGUUACUAUAUUAGUCAGGCAUAUUAGUUAUUUCUUGCUGUGUAACAAAGAACUCCAAAACUUAGUGACAUAAAACAACCACUUAUUAUUUUUCAUAAAUCUAUGGAUUGGCUGGCUCGGAAGUUCUGCUGAUCUGGUCUGAGUUUGGUUGAUUCAGCUUGGCUUGAUUUAUUAACUUCUGGUCUGCUUGGACAAUUCGCUCUUCUCCAUGUUGUUUCUCAACCUUCAGCAGACUAGUCUGGCUUCUUCGCGUGGUGGAGUCUGAGAUCUCAAAGAGUAAGCAAAAGCCUGCAAGGUCUCUUGAGGCCUAGGCUUGGAACUGGCUCUGUCACUUCUGCUACAUUUCAUGUGCCAGUUCAAGACACAUGGCCAAACCUAGGUCCAAGGAAUGGAAAAUAAACACCACCACUUGAUGGAAGAAACUGCUAAAUCACAUUGUAUGGAAGAGAAAUAAUUGGAGGAAAUUUUGCAAUCAAUUUACAACAGAGUAGCCUGAUUGCUCUAAUAAACAAAUCUCAAAUCUUAGGAUUAAACAUCAUAAUGUUUAUUUCUUGUUCACAGUCCAAUCUUGUAUCACAGUCCAAUAGAGGUGGGCAGGGGAGUGAGAGAGAUUGCUCCACACAGCCAUUCAGGUACCAAGUUUCCUUCUGUCUAGUUGCUGUGUUAUCCAAAGCCAUAGAGCCUUUGAUUGGGUCCUGCGUUUCCAUCCACUAGAUGAGAGAAGAGAGCAAAUAUGUAGAAGAAAUAUCUGUCCUUAAUUGCCUCAACCUGGAGGUGUCAUACAUAUCACUUCUGCCCCUUUCCAGGGCUAGAACUUGGUCACAUGAUUGAAUAGAACUGCAAGGGAAGCUGGGAAAUGUGGUCCAGCUGUUAGGAGAAAGAGGAAAAUGGCUUAUUGAGCACCUAGCUAGACUCUGCUGCAGUCACAGGCUCUGUGACUGAGGAACUCAUUCCCAAAGAAAGUGCACUGGGACACAUUUCAAAAGUUGAUGCAUGAUAGUAUGGGGCAGACAAAGGUUAAAAAGACAAGGUCAUGAUUAAGUAGGGGAGAAACACACAGAUACCUAUGUAAAUACCUAGGGUAUGAGCAAGAAUCUGGGGAAAGACUUGGAGUUAGGAGGAGGUGGGUGCUUGGCAGGCGGUGAGACUUUAAUAGGCAGAGGUAGAAGUGAAGGGCAAAGGGAAACUUUGGGCCACACGGGGAAACUAGAUUUGUUUGCUUGUUUAACACUGUGGCCUCCAGUGGGACCUAAAGUCGAUGCCUUAAUGUAGGACGGCUAUGUUAGUGCUGAUCAGAAUAAUGUACCCCUUAGGGCUACAUUAAAAAACUAUGCUCAGUGCCUCAUUUGCACCUUCAAAAUAUGCACAUACAUGUGUGGGCCAGAAAAGGCUGCGCUCAGGACAUGCAUUCUUAUGUGAACCGUAGGUAAUUGCACAAGCAAACAGGAAGUUGCGUAGGUAUGCAGGCAGCUGCCUGUUGAGAGGUGCGUGUGGGCAUGGGCAGGCGUGGGCCUUGUCUGUUUGAGUACAAUUUUAAAGGCUUCUCCUGAUGGAAGGGAGGGCAAGCAAGCCUCUGGGCACCUGCUUCCCUAACUGCUGCUGUCGUUUGUCCUUCUCAAGGUUUCCUUUCUGGGCAGGGCCAUGUCAGGGAGUAUUUGUGGCUGUAAGAAAAAGGUGCCGUUUCAAGGUCUUUGCUAACUGCCGAGCUGGUGAAUAAACGUUUUGAAAUUCUCUUUGCUGAGAAUUCCAUCUCCUGGUUCUCUUCCUGAUUCUAUGGCCCAGUUUCCCCAGUUUAUUCCCUGUCUUCUUCUUCUGUUUGUUCCUCAGAUGUUUUCCCGUGAACCUGUCCCUAAUCACUUUCUGACCUUCUGAACCAGAGCUAUCCAACAGAACUAUCUGCAAAGGUACCUGCACUGUUCCUUGUUGUAGCCACUAGCCACAUAUAGUCAUUGAGCACUUGACAUGGGGCUUAUGGGCCUGAGAAACUGACUUUUAAAUUUUAUUUAAGUUAAAUAUAAAUAGACACAUGUGGCUAGUGGCUUCUCUAUUGGACAGCAUAGCUCUAGAACAGUCUUUAUGGGUAAUAAUUUCUCCCUUACAGUCUGCCCCAUUAUUCCCAGUCUGUAUCUCCUUACCCUACCUGCUCUCCUGAACCAUGUUUACAAAUACUCCAAUUUGAUUAUUCUGUGGUCCCCUUAAUGCAAUGUGGCUAAGGUUGAACUCUUUGUCUCUACCCACAAAACUCAUUUCUUCUUGACCUUCCUCCUGUCACUUUAUCCUUGGUCCUCCCUUAUUAGGGAACAGUUCUGAUCAGACCAUGUUACUCAUAUAUAUUAUCAUCAAGAUAGGUCCAGGUUUUGUGGAUCUGAGUCAAUUUGGGAUCUCUACUUAAAAAAAAAAUUACAGAGUACAAAUGCAAAAUUAGAUUUAGAGCCUUGGAGCAUCCUCGGCAAGUGAAGAUGUCUGUGAAGCUUAAGCUUUAUUUGCUUUACUGCAAAUUGGCCUCAGUUUAUCAUUGGAAUAUUCUACAGUUUCUGGGUUUGAAUCUCAGUCUGACCACUUCCUUGUUCCACAACCUGGGCACAGUACUUAACCACACUGAGAUCGAAUUGGCUAUUGGGGAUAAUGAUAAUACCUAUUAGACUAAGUUGUUGCAAAAUUAAAUAAGAUAUAUGUAUACAAAGUCUAGUACAUCUUGGAGCCAUUCCAUGAAAUAAUGUUAUUCCCUUGUUCUCACUGCAUAGAAAAUAGUAACAGCAAUAACAAUGAAAAUAAUAACACUAGAUAAUUGUCUUAGUCCAUUUGGCUGUUAUAACAAAAUCAUAGACUUAGUGGCUUAUAAACGAUGGAGACUUAUUUCUCACAGUUCCGGAGGCUGGGAAGUCUAAGACCAAGACACCAGCAGUUUCAGUGUCUGAUGAGGGCCCACUUCCUCGUAGGCUAUCUUCUCACUGUAACCUCCCCGGAGGAAGGGUUCUCUCUCGGGCCUCUUUUAAAAGAACACUAAUCCCAUUCCUGAGAGCUCCACCUUUAUGACCUAAUCACCUCUCAUAGGCCCACCUCCAAAUACCCUCAGUUUGGGGAUUAGGAUUUUAACAUAGGAAUUUGGGGUGAACACAGACAUUCAGUUCACAGCACUAUUGUAUUGGGUGCCAUGUUCGACACUUGGCAUAGAUUAUCUCAUUUAUGCCUACAAGUCUGACGAAAGGCCCAUAGGUUUCAUCAAAGAAAGUCAGGACUAUCUGGAAUGGAUAAUUGGUCCCAAAUAGUGGAAGAAAGAAAGAAAGAAAGAAAGAAAGAAGAAAGAAAGAAAACAACAUGAAUAAUUCUAGUAAAAUGUGCUCAUAUUAAAGAGGGAAAUUAAGGCCCAGAGAACUGAAAUUGUCUGCGGUUAUAGCAGCAGAGAAAAGACUUAAAGCCAUAUCCUCUAGGGACCACUUUUGCUUGUAUUGUAUACUUCAAGAUCAGUUCAGGUCCUGCUUCCUCUAGAAAACCUUGUGGAGAAACUUCACUCUCUACAGUUCAAUCCCCUGCCUUGCUUUACCUGUUACCCCUUCUAUACAUCUUAUCACUUGAUUCCACUGAAGGCAGCCCUUUUGACAUUCCAUUUUGUGGUGUUCCCAUCUGAGCUCAAUGCCUGGUAUAUAAAAAAUAAGUGCUUGUUGAGAAGUGAAAAGCAAAUGUCUUCCAAUUUUUAAUACAUGUGAGUAUCACCUCCUGAACAAAAGGAAAGGCACCUGCCUUUGUUUUUUGUUUGCGUUUAUACAAUUUAUAAAUGCACCACAGGCACAUAGUAGGUGUUCAAUGAAGAUGUAUUCAAUAUAAUUGAAUUUCCUGGUAGCUGAACAACUAGGCAGAUGGGUGGAGAGAUAUAAAUUAGUAAAGCAGAUUUAAACCAUGUGUUGAUCAUUGAAAAGUUGUUUCAUUUUCAGCCAAGAUAAAUGCUUUUUUAAUGUGUAAAGAAAUCUAUAAUUUUCUAUGCUUUGAAUUAAAGCUCCCACUUCCCAGGUUUCCUGCCUGCUUCUGGCUGCUCUUAAUGAGCUAAUUUACCCCACCGAGGUGAGAGAUUUCCUCUUGGGAAAGGGUUUAGAUGUGCCUCUCUCAUAUCCAGGGCCCCAGAGCGUUUCCUUACAGGGCUUUAAACACUCUGCCCGUAUUUAAGAGAGAAGCCAAGGAACAAAUCUGUUGUUUUAGCUUUAUUCCUUGAGGCUCAGCGGCUCGACUUUCCUUCCCCUUUGAUCGCUCUCACUGGAGUGGCAGGCCUGGAAACUGCGGAGAAGGGGUAGGUCUCCUUAGGAAGCCCAGUUCAGGGGACCCACCCAGCUCCACACAAUGAAAAUAAAGUUGUCAAGCCUUUGAGGUGGCUGUGAAGAUUUAUUCUUCCUGGGCAAAUUGGUGAGACAUUUAUAUUUUUAAAAAAUGCUUUGAUGAACUUGAUAAGGAAGCCCUCGUUUGAAUGUGGAAAAACAUUCUAGAGCUUUUUCCACUGCUACACAGGGUUUUUAGCUUUAACCUGUGAAAAUGGACUGGGUUUUGACCUGGGUUUUAGCUUGACCUGUGGAAAUGGACUUGCCCUUCAGAUGAAUGACGAGACUGUAAGGGGUUCAUUUGGGGAUUGCAGGACACAGGUUUACCCUGUCUUAGAAUAUAAGCAUCCAUGAGGCAGGAGGUCUUAAAAACCUUUUGCAGAUCUUGACAUCUUAUCUACACAUUUCCUAGUCCUCAGCUGCCAACCAAAAUCUCCCAAUUGCUCUAUUACAGCUCAAUGACUUACAUCACCAAGUAUGGUUCCAUUACUUCUACCAGCUGAAGCAAUGGAAUAUGCAAUAUUUUAUUAUGCAUAUAAUUGAAAUACUUUCUGUUCUUUCUAAGUUCGAAUAUUGUUUGUGUCACAUAUUGUUCUGAGCAUGCCUUGGUCACAGUCAGGUCUCGAGGGACCUAGGGAAGGAAGUGGAAGCUGGUGUGAAAUAUCCUUCUCUUGCAUUCCAGAAAGUCAUUUUAGCCAGGAACAUCUGCCAACAGCUCUGAGAUGGUGCUCUUAACAUCCCUGUGUUAUGCAGACCAUUAUGAAUGGCUCUGAAAAGACUGAGUGCUCGGCCAAAAAAAAAAAAAAAAAAAAAAAGAAGACAUGGA